AUGAAGCCGGAAUUGCUAGUAAUGGCAGGUCAGCAUACUGCCGUGAAUACGUUCCCGGGCCUUGUACACACCGCCCGUCACACCAUGAGAGUUGGAAAUACCCGAAGCCUGUGAGCUAACUUUGACGGAGGCAGCAGUCGAAGGUAGAGCCAAUGAUUGGGGUGAAGUCGUAACAAGGUAUC
rnacentral:rRNA from 1 species